AAUCUUCAGGUUAUAUUUCUGGAGCUCGAGUGCCCAUCUCAGGAUUCUUUGUGAGACAUUAGAACGCUUAAACAGUGCAGAGAGGGCUUGGUGGUCGGUGUACACUUCUACCGGAAGGCCGUAUACAUAAAUGUGAAACUUCGCAAAGCGAACACCACCGCAAGCGCCUCGAGGUCCGUCACAUGGUAGUUAAUUUCGCUACGGGUAAGACCCUUGGAAGCGAUGCAAUCCGGAUGGAGCAUGCCGUCCUCUCAGAGACCGAGCUAGAGUUCUCUUCUCUAGUUAAGGAACGGACUCCCUGGAAUCGGUUCAGCCGUAGAUAGGGACGUUGUUUCCGUAAAGCAUCGCGGUUUCUGUGAUGUCUCGUGUUCUCUGGACGUCCCUUGAAAAACCAAGGAAGGCUAUUAAUCUGUGCUGCAUCGUACCGAUAUCCGCAUCAGGUCUCCAAGGUGAACAGCCUCUAGUCGAUAGAAUAAUGUAGGUAAGGGAAGUCGGCAAAUUAGAUCCGUAAAUUCGAGAAAAGGAUUGGCUCCAGUGAACGGG
rnacentral:ncRNA from 1 species